rnacentral:rRNA from 1 species
UGCGGAAGAGAUAAGUGCUGAAAGCAUCUAAGCACGAAACUUGCCCCGAGAUGAGUUCUCCCUGAGACUUUAAGUCUCCUGAAGGAACGUUGAAGACGACGACGUUGAUAGGUCGGGUGUGUAAGCGCAGCGAUGCGUUGAGCUAACCGAUACUAAUGAACCGUGAGGCUUAACCUU